rnacentral:rRNA from 1 species
AGAAUCAACGCUGGCGGCGUGCCUAACACAUGCAAGUCGAACGAGAAAGUGGAGCAAUCCAUGAGUAAAGUGGCGCACGGGUGAGUAACACGUGACUAACCUACCCUUGAGUGGGGGAUAAACCUAGAGAAAUCUGGGCUAAUACCGCAUAAUACCUUCGGGUCAAAGGAGCAAUUCGCUUAAGGAGGGGGUCGCGGCCGAUUAGUUAGUUGGCGGGGUAAUGGCCCACAAGACUAUGAUCGGUAUCCGGCCUGAGAGGGCGCACGGACACACUGGAACUGAAACACGGUCCAGACUCCUACGGGAGGCAGCAGUGGGAAUUUUGCGCAAUGGGGGAAACCCUGACGCAGCAACGCCGCGUGGAGGAUGAAGUCCCUUGGGACGUAAACUCCUUUCGAUCGGACGAUAAUGACGGUACCGAGAGAAGAAGCCCCGGCUAAACUUCGUGCCAGCAGCCGC